rnacentral:lncRNA from 1 species
UGGUUUCGCAGGUCGCAGACACAGCCAAUAAGUGUAGAAACCAGUGUUGUGACUUUGAGAGAGAGAGAUGGCGAUGAUGAAGCGAGUUGCUGAGUCUGCGGUUAGGGCUUUUGCUCUGGGUUCUACUUCCGGGGCUCUUACCAAGCACCUCCAUGUGAGCAUUUUUUUUUUCUGCGUUUUUACUCCAGACCCAGUUGAUCGGUUGGUUGACUGAUGAAAUUGAUGGUUUUUUUUGUCUGUUUGGUUUGCUGUUUGUGAUCUGUUGUUGUUUCCCAGUGUUUUUGGGUGUGGUUGCUAUGUGUUGGUUCUGGUUCUGAAGCUUAGUGUUGGGGGGUUAUUUUGAUGAUGAUCGUGACGGUCACCAUCAAAAUCAUCAACCAUGGGAGACAUCGGGGCUUCAUGGUCUCAGUGUUGGGUACUUGGGUUCAUGUGUCGCUGCCGGCCCGCAAGGGAUUCUGGAACCGGAUUGGGUUCUUGUGAUUUUCGUCUUUUGUUGAAAAUGGGGGCUGUUUUUAAAAACAUUUUCUCCUUAGAUCGUUCCCUCUCAGGGACUAGAAUGGGUGUCAGUGAACAGUUAAUGUUAAUAGACGAAGCCCAUGUUAUCAAUCUAGAAUUGUUGAAAUGAUUUGCGAAUUUUAACAAAUGUAUUGGGACAUGAUGAAUUUUUAAUUGUUAGAGGAUUCUUAUGGAUUAUAUGUGCUUAAUGAAGAAUUUUUGUAUAAUUCACAACUCUCACUUGAAAUUUGGGCUCCUGCUACAAAGAUCAGCAUUUCUAUGAAUAAUCUGUGUAUCAUAAAAUCCUUUCGAGUAAUUUUUCAUUACAUACACUUCACUCGACUGAGUCUUGGUACCAUAAAAGAGGUUAAGCUAAUGAGCUUAGUUAUCGAUCUGAGUAGUACAAGAUCCGUUUAGUUAGUACCUUUAGUGAUGUUACUAUGUGAAGUUAAUGGAGUUGCUACCUUCAUUUGUAAGGAUGGGUCUCUUUCCUCGAAGCAUGCAAAAUUUUUCUUCUAUGCCUGGUGUCCUAAUUGUUGUUUCUCAUUGGAAACAGGCUUCAGCUGGAAGCAAAAAGAUUGUUGGGGUGUUUUACAAGGCCAAUGAAUAUGCUGCCAUGAAUCCCAACUUUGUGGGCUGUGUUGAGGGAGCCUUGGGCAUUCGAGAUUGGUUGGAAUCACAAGGGCACCAGUACAUUGUUACUGAUGACAAAGAAGGGCCAGAUUGUGGUUAGUACGUAGUCUUUGAAUGUCUUGUGUUGUGUGAUUCAAAGAGCUUCCUAUUUACCUGCUAGCUGCAUCAAAUAAUACAGACAUUAAAGUUGUGAUUAUCUAUGUACAUUUCCAGGGUUGUUUCAAAUGUUGUAUUUGAUGGUUAUCUUCAGAGUUUGUGACAGUUCAUGGGGAUCAUGGUUUGCUUAAUAUAUUCCCCAACUGGAAAUCUCUUUAUUAUAGUGUUGUUUACGAGAAAUCUGCAAGGAGAUGCUUUCUUUUAUAAAUUUACAUGUUGUUUUUGAUUCUUGAAAUUUAUUCAAACUAAAGCUGGUCUUUAUUUAUUCGUUUUUUUCCUUCUUUUUGAUUGUGUUUCAUAAUUGCAGAACUUGAAAAGCACAUUCCCGACCUCCAUGUUCUCAUAUCUACCCCCUUCCACCCUGCCUAUGUAACGGCAGAGAGGAUCAAGAAGGCCAAAAAUCUACAACUUCUGCUUACAGCUGGAAUCGGAUCUGAUCAUAUUGAUUUGAAGGCAGCUGCUGCUGCUGGGCUAACAGU